rnacentral:rRNA from 1 species
UACGUAGGGGGCUGGCGUUGUCCGGAUUUAUUGGGCGUAAAGAGCGUGUAGGCGGCCAGGUAGGUCUGCUGUGAAAACUCGAGGCUCAACCUCGAGACGUCGGCGGAAACCAUCUGGCUAGAGUCCGGAAGAGGAGAGUGGAAUUCCUGGUGUAGCGGUGGAAUGCGCAGAUAUCAGGAGGAACACCAAUAGCGAAGGCAGCUCGCUGGGACGGUACUGACGCUAAGGCGCGAAAGCGUGGGGAGCGAACAGG